CAGGAGGCUUCUUGAGACAUUGAAGGAAGUUUGAGAUGACUUACAAUUCAACAACAAAAAGCUACCACCAUAGUUGGAGGGGAAGACCAUUUCUGCUCUUUUCUUUUUUUAAUUCCUUAUUACAGCAACACACUGGAAUCAAAUUAAUCUCAAGAAACACAGAGGCUAAUGACCAAUCACUUAGUUGAGACAUUUCUGGAUGAAAAAAUGCAGCCCUAGUCUCCGGUUCCAGGCCAAGCCAGUUUCUCCAUGAGUAUUCUGGAGUGACCAUGGACAGCUCCAAGAGCCAAAGCCUCAGCCAGAGUAAAGCAGAGUGAAAUACGUCCACAAAAGAAUCAGAAAUGUUGUUGCAAAAUUCUGAUUUUGUUCCCAAGAAAUGGACAAUUUUUUGAAAGUACUGGAAAGGAAACAGUGGACAGGAUUUAGCCAAAGGAUCUAUAUAGGCAGAAAAGGAAUGAGAAGUAUUAACAAGCAGUUCUGGGAACAAAUCCUCAUGCAAAGGAAUGGUCACUCGCUUUCUCUAAGAUUGGCAUCUUAGGCGAUGGCCUAGGUCUACCUAAUGGAGAGGGCAGCCCUAGUCUUUGUUGACAUGGAAGAGAGUGGUUGGGCGGAACUAUUUUGCUGGUCUCCCUUCCAUUCAAAAUUCUUUUCAAAUUGUGGCCAGGUACCAUGAAUGGGCAAGAUCUACGGCCUUUGCAGAUGCAUUCAAGUGUUCUUCAACCUACACAGGAUCUAUAUGCAAGCUCACUAAAAAUAUCCAUUGCUGACAGAUGCAAGCUAUCAAUAAGGAAUUUAAAAACUCAGUAUGAAAAGUGGUACGGAUAGAGGUCUUGAUCAACAUCUCAAAUAGGAUUUUACUCAGCAGAAAAUGAGGUCAGCGCGGGUUGAAGCAACAGAAAAUGAGCAUCUGUCAGAAGGCGGCGGAGAAUACUGAUAAAGGAGUCUACAGAACCGCAUUACCGCCCCGGGAAAAAACCAGGAACCAGGUUGUUAAAAUUAGGACCGAGCCUUUCCAAAGUGUCCAGGGUUUUAAAAACAUCAAGGUGGAAAUGAAUACCUUGGCUUUCAAACAAAGCUUGAAUACCAAUGCAGUCCAAGUAAGGUCUCACCUUGCUUGCCACCCGGAGACAAUGAACUGCACAACGUUCGGCUUGACACACCUGGAUAUUGAGGACAAUGGAAAUUUCCUGGGUUUACCCAGCUAGGAAUGCAGACCUCGUUCGCUCCAGGAUGUAAAUAUUUAUUAGAAACAUCAUUCAUUAUCUUGCACUUUCAUAUCCUGUUUGGGCUGCUGCUUUGCUUUGAGUCGGCUGCCUUUGAAGAAAUCAAGUUGGUUUCUUAAAUUAGCCGCCCUGAUUUGGACUUAAUUGAUUAAUGGAAUAAUGUAAACUAUUUUUGGUAUUUCAGUACAUGAGUUAUUGUGAUCACAUUUAACGAUG